GCUUAACGCGAAGAACCUUACCUACCCUUGACAUCUAGCGAAGAUUGCAGAGAUGCAGUUGUGCCUUCGGGAACGGCUAAGACAGGUGCUGCAUGGCUGUCGUCAGCUCGUGUUGUGAAAUGUUGGGUUAAGUCCCGCAACGAGCGCAACCCUUAUCCUUAGUUGCCAGCACGUAAUGGUGGGAACUCUAGGGAGACUGCCGGUGAUAAACCGGAGGAAGGUGGGGACGACGGUCAAGUCAUCAUGGCCCUUACGAGUAGGGCUACGACACGUGCUACAAUGGUACGUACAGAGGGAGGCAAGCUGGCGACAGUGAGCGGAUCUCUUAAAGCGUAUCGUAGUCCGGAUCGCAGUCUGCAACUCGACUGCGUGAAGUCGGAAUCGCUAGUAAUCGCAAAUCAGAAUGUUGCGGU
rnacentral:rRNA from 1 species